UGCAACAUGUUUCAAUUGUCUCAGGCUUUCAGCGUCCGCUCGUCAAUUACAGAACAAAGGAGGAUAUGAUUUUGCGUCGUAAGAGGUUUUUGCUGUUCGUUUCGAGCAGCGGCUGCGGUCUUGCGUCCCGUCAGGCCAUAAAAGAACAAAGGAGGAUAUCAUUUUGCGUCGUAAGGGUUAAGCUGUGUGAUAGAAGUGUGUGAUCA